UUUUGGAAAAAUUGUGUGAUUGAUAUAAUAUAUACUUAUUAUGCGGGUCGCGCUUUAUACUUUCCAAUAAACUGGAAUUUUUUUGUUUUUCUUAUUUUAUUGUUGGUUGAGAUGUUUAUGCUUAUCAUCGUCCACUUGAAACCAUCAGCUCUGAAGGUGGCUGAUCAAGUUCGCUUCUUGGUUGAUAAGAAAUGUUUCCGUACUCUUGAAGUAACGGACAUAAUCCCAAAAGGAAGUGACAGAAAUCUUUUCUAAUUCCGAACCACCCUUAUAAAAACAUUAUGAACAAAUAUUAAAUUUUUAUCAGAAAAUGAAUUUCACGCUGUGAGAAUAUAAAAGCAAAUGUUAUUCGUUCACUUGAA